rnacentral:rRNA from 1 species
GAUGAACGCUGGCGGCGUGCUUAACACAUGCAAGUCGAACGGGAAACCUUUUAUUGAAGCUUCGGCAGAUUUAGCUGGUUUCUAGUGGCGGACGGGUGAGUAACGCGUGGGUAACCUGCCUUAUACAGGGGGAUAACAGUCAGAAAUGGCUGCUAAUACCGCAUAAGCGCACAGAGCUGCAUGGCUCAGUGUGAAAAACUCCGGUGGUAUAAGAUGGACCCGCGUUGGAUUAGCUGGUUGGUGGGGUAACGGCCCACCAAGGCGACGAUCCAUAACCGGCCUGAGAGGGUGAACGGCCACAUUGGGACUGAGACACGGCCCAGACUCCUACGGGAGGCAGCAGUGGGGAAUAUUGCACAAUGGGGGAAACCCUGAUGCAGCGACGCCGCGUGAAGGAAGAAGUAUCUCGGUAUGUAAACUUCUAUCAGCAGGGAAGAUAAUGACGGUACCUGACUAAGAAGCCCCGGCUAACUACGUG